rnacentral:rRNA from 1 species
UAUGGAGGAUGCAAGCGUUAUCCGGAAUCAUUGGGCGUAAAGGGUCCUGAGGUGGUUUGCUAAGUCUACUGUGAAAGAUCAGGGCUCAACCCUGAAGAUGCGGUGGAAACUGGCAGGCUAGAAUACGGUAGGGGCAGGGGGAAUUCCCGGUGUAGCGGUGAAAUGCAUAGAUAUCGGGAAGAACACCAAAGGCGAAGGCACCCUGCUGGGCCGAUAUUGACACUGACAGACGAAAGCUAGGGGAGCAAAUGGG